rnacentral:rRNA from 1 species
CAUAUUGAACGCUGGCGGCAGGCCUAACACAUGCAAGUCGAGCGGUAGCACAGAGAGCUUGCUCUCGGGUGACGAGCGGCGGACGGGUGAGUAAUGUCUGGGAAACUGCCUGAUGGAGGGGGAUAACUACUGGAAACGGUAGCUAAUACCGCAUAACGUCGCAAGACCAAAGUGGAGGACCUUCGGGCCUCAUGCCAUCAGAUGUGCCCAGAUGGGAUUAGCUAGUAGGUGGGGUAACGGCUCACCUAGGCGACGAUCCCUAGCUGGUCUGAGAGGAUGACCAGCCACACUGGAACUGAGACACGGUCCAGACUCCUACGGGAGGCAGCAGUGGGGAAUAUUGCACAAUGGGCGCAAGCCUGAUGCAGCCAUGCCGCGUGUGUGAAGAAGGCCUUCGGGUUGUAAAGCACUUUCAGCGGGGAGGAAGGCGUUAAGGUUAAUAACCUUGGCGAUUGACGUUACCCGCAGAAGAAGCACCGGCUAACUCCGUGCCAGCAGCCGCGGUAAUACGGAGGGUGCAAGCGUUAAUCGGAAUUACUGGGCGUAAAGCGCACGCAGGCGGUCUGUCAAGUCGGAUGUGAAAUCCCCGGGCUCAACCUGGGAACUGCAUUCGAAACUGGCAGGCUAGAGUCUUGUAGAGGGGGGUAGAAUUCCAGGUGUAGCGGUGAGAUGCGUAGAGAUCUGGAGGAAUACCGGUGGCGAAGGCGGCCCCCUGGACAAAGACUGACGCUCAGGUGCGAAAGCGUGGGGAGCAAACAGGAUUAGAUACCCUGGUAGUCCACGCCGUAAACGAUGUCGAUUUGGAGGUUGUGCCCUUGAGGCGUGGCUUCCGGAGCUAACGCGUUAAAUCGACCGCCUGGGGAGUACGGCCGCAAGGUUAAAACUCAAAUGAAUUGACGGGGGCGCGCACAAGCGGUGGAGCAUGUGGUUUAAUUCGAUGCAACGCGAAGAACCUUACCUGGUCUUGACAUCCACAGAACUUUCCAGAGAUGGAUUGGUGCCUUCGGGAACUGUGAGACAGGUGCUGCAUGGCUGUCGUCAGCUCGUGUUGUGAAAUGUUGGGUUAAGUCCCGCAACGAGCGCAACCCUUAUCCUUUGUUGCCAGCGGUUAGGCCGGGAACUCAAAGGAGACUGCCAGUGAUAAACUGGAGGAAGGUGGGGAUGACGUCAAGUCAUCAUGGCCCUUACGACCAGGGCUACACACGUGCUACAAUGGCAUAUACAAAGAGAAGCGACCUCGCGAGAGCAAGCGGACCUCAUAAAGUAUGUCGUAGUCCGGAUUGGAGUCUGCAACUCGACUCCAUGAAGUCGGAAUCGCUAGUAAUCGUAGAUCAGAAUGCUACGGUGAAUACGUUCCCGGGCCUUGUACACACCGCCCGUCACACCAUGGGAGUGGGUUGCAAAAGAAGUAGGUAGCUUAACCUUCGGGAGGGCGCUUACCACUUUGUGAUUCAU